GCCAGACUCCUACGGGAGGCAGCAGUGGGGAAUAUUGGGCAAUGGAGGAAACUCUUACCCAGCAAUGCCGUGUGAAUGAAGAAGGUCUUCGGAUUGUAAAGUUCUUUAAUUGGGGACGAAAAAAAUGACGGUACCCAAGGAAUAAGCCCCGGCUAACUACGUGCCAGCAGCCGCGGUAAUACGUAGGGGGCAAGCGUUAUCCGGAUUUACUGGGUGUAAAGGGAGCGUAGACGGCAGUGCAAGUCUGGAGUGAAAGGCGGGGGCUCAACCCCCGGACUGCUCUGGAAACUGUAAGGCUGGAGUGUCGGAGAGGCAGGCGGAAUUCCUAGUGUAGCGGUGAAAUGCGUAGAUAUUAGGAGGAACACCAGUGGCGAAGGCGGCCUGCUGGACGAUGACUGACGUUGAGGCUCGAAAGCGUGGGGAGCAAACAGGAUUAGAUACCCUAGUA
rnacentral:rRNA from 1 species